ensembl:piRNA 21ur-13067 ncRNA
UUAGAAGCUCAUGCAGUCAGU